rnacentral:snoRNA from 1 species
AAUUCAUGGUGCGAACAUUUCUGAAUCAACAUUUUGAAACGUUCCGACGCCUCAUGAAAGCUUUCUCCUUUCAUCUGUCUAAAGACAACAAUCUCUCUUCUUAGUU